CUUUUGCAUUUCAGCUGCUGGAGGAUGAACAGUGCUACCAACUGGGGGCCACCCAGAGCUGCCAGGCAGCUGAGCUCAGGGGGCCCGGAUCCCUGAAGUGCUCCAAGCAGGGGACGGCCCAAGCCAUUCUGGACAUCUUGGGGCCCCUGGAGCACUUCAGGGAUCGCCCCCUGACCCUGGCCCUUGCCUUGGAGGCCCUCCUCUAGCUAAGCACCAUGAGGCCCAAAUUCAGCUGCGAUAUGAUCAGUGCGAUCCUGCACAGGACGUUGGAGGCCGUGCUGAAAGGGGCCGAGGAGGAGAGAGAAGAACUGAAGAGGCACUUCCGGCUCCUGCUGGGGAGUCUCCAUAUGGAAGCCCCCAACCCUGGCACCCUCCUCCACCUUCUCAGCGACCUCCGAGGAUACGCCCUGGGGAAAGUGGGGAGGCUCAAGAACUAGCGGCCAGCAGCAUUUCCUUGAUGCUGGCCGUUGCCUGGAAAUACCCCAACCUCAGAGUAAGUACCUUGCCUUCUUCUAUUCAUUU